CCAUGAAAAGCUGCAGGAAGGAAUCUGUGUAACUGAAAACGCCUGUGUCUCCAGCAGCACAAAGUGGUCAGGAAAAGCACGGCGAACACCAGCUCACCCCACAGCUGCACCCAUGGCUCUAUCACCACAGCCGACCAUCCAACACCAUGUUGGUGCCAACGGCUCCUUACGUCUGUGCGCCCUACACAGUGCUGGAUGAGAGGGGAGCUCUGCACAACGCCGCAGCUCAGAGGCUCAGACCUGAGCCACGUGCCCCAGCAGAACCCCAAGUUCAGCUGCUGUAUGGAACAUCCAGACCAAAGUCCUUCCUACGCAUCACUUAAUCCUGCAUUUCCACUUCCCUUCUGGUAACCACCUUAUCCGCUUCUCAACAUUUUGGCUGGAGGUAACACUAGGAUCAAAGAUCUUCCAUCACAAAGGGUUUGCAAUAGCAAAGGCAGAUUUUGGCCCACAGACAAAAGGCAUUAUUUCCCUGUUGACAUCCAGGAUGAACGUAACCUCAAUGCCACAACGAGCAUUCAAGGAGACCUGAGCUGUGCGACCAUCCAUCUCAGGCCCAGCAGCAAACCCAGAUUCCUGGUCACCAGGCACUGGAACAGAACAAAGUGCUGCUCUCAGACACACACAGGUGCUGGAGCUCUGCACACCUUCCACACUCUGUCACCAACACAGACCAACACCACAUUACUGGGAGCACAGAAGCAUUUGGUAACUCCUGUGUCAGCCCUGUGCAAAAGCAGAGUCCGUGGAAUGCAUGCACAGGGCACACACACAGCAGCACAGCUGGACCCCAAACAGCCACAGCUGUGCUGUCUUUCACAGGUCCCAGCCCCGAGCUCUGCUCUCAGCUCCAGCAGCAAACCUGCACUAAGUCGAGGCAGCAUCACAGACAGGGAUUAAAACCAGUCUGAAGCAACAACAGUCAAAGCAGCACUUCUGCCAUAACCUCAGAUAUUUCAACAGCAGUCAAAAAGACAGGGCCUAGCUGCCUUAUUUAAAGCAAUAAUCUGUAACUGUCACUGGCUCUCUUACAAGCACAGAAUGUGAAUGCAACAUUCAAUCAUCUGUUUCUUCUAAAAUCAGUAAAUAUUAUGGCCUGUUUGAUUCCGAUGACUGUUUGGAUGAAUUAGUAAGAAACAGACUCAUGUGAAAGUGAGAUGUGAAAAACAGACAUUACUUUUCAGCCACAGACCUGAAAACGUUCUUCCAGUGCUUGACUACCAAUGAGAUAAAUGUUUGCUUCUUUCUCUUCUGUAAAUUGAAGAACCCCGCAACAGUGCGCCGGGUGUUUGUGAGCGCUUUGUCUCUUUCUGUGGAGUAGUCAAGGAGAGCUAAAGCAAGUGGAAUUCAGCACAAUGCAUAAUUCUAAGUAAACGUGUUGCCUGUGUUCAGCCAGCAAGGAAAGAAAGUGGGUCCAGAGAUG
ensembl:lncRNA